ensembl:lncRNA
GCUCAGAGACCUCACGGCCUUCAGCACUCAGCCGCCUGGAGAUGGAUGUCCGGGGCUUUCCAAACGGGGCUCAUUUCCCAGGGAACCCAUGGCCCAUCAGAAGCUGCUGCCAGCUAUGAGAAAAACCCUGACUGAACCCGCUUCUUGGACUCAGGAGGCGGCCCCCAGUGUCCAAGACUUGAAGACAAAGCAAGGCUGCACCUGCUGGCCCCUCUCUCGCACACAGAGGCUGGAUGCUGUGCUGCGAACCCAGGAGAUCCAGCCCCAGUUUGUGCAGAUGCUGGUGGGGCUCUGGGCUGGACCCCUAGCACAAGGCUCCUUGGAUUGACUUGCUAGUCUCCAACAUGUGGCAGUGUUUACUGGGCAGGAACCUACCUAAUUAUCUCACAGAUGCUCACCUGGAGCAUCUCAGCCCUUCCCUCCUCCAACCUCUCCAUCAACCCAGAGAAGAGGAAUACACAGCUUUUAAGUUCCCAGCUUCUCGAGAAGCUUAAACUGGACAGAAGAGAUGCAUGUGGCCUGUGCAGCCCGCCUGAGCCAGCCCCCCAGGGAAGUAGAAAAUCCAAAGGGGUGUGGUUCGGUAACAGGAGACCAGCUACACGCUGACACAGGGACAGAGAAGUCACAGCCAACGAUCAUAAACAGAGAGCAUCGACAGGCAAUGGGAUAAACAAACUGCGAUCCAUCCAUACAGAGC